rnacentral:misc_RNA from 4 species
UGCGGGAGCGAGCUUGCUCGCGAUAGCGGUGUGUCAGUCAACUGGAUGUUGGCUGGUCCAUCGCUAUCGCGAGCAAGCUCGCUCCCACA